AUUGAACGCUGGCGGCAUGCCUUACACAUGCAAGUCGAACGGCAGCACGGGUGCUUGCCCCUGGUGGCGAGUGGCGAACGGGUGAGUAAUACAUCGGAACAUGUCCUGUAGUGGGGGAUAGCCCGGCGAAAGCCGGAUUAAUACCGCAUACGAUCCACGGAUGAAAGCGGGGGGCCUUCGGGCCUCGCGCUAUAGGGUUGGCCGAUGGCUGAUUAGCUAGUUGGUGGGGUAAAGGCCUACCAAGGCGACGAUCAGUAGCUGGUCUGAGAGGACGACCAGCCACACUGGGACUGAGACACGGCCCAGACUCCUACGGGAGGCAGCAGUGGGGAAUUUUGGACAAUGGGCGAAAGCCUGAUCCAGCAAUGCCGCGUGUGUGAAGAAGGCCUUCGGGUUGUAAAGCACUUUUGUCCGGAAAGAAAUCCUUGGCUCUAAUACAGUCGGGGGAUGACGGUACCGGAAGAAUAAGCACCGGCUAACUACGUG
rnacentral:rRNA from 1 species